rnacentral:lncRNA from 1 species
UUUUACAAGGGAAAAGAUGAUUGCUGGGCAAGAGCCCUUACACAAAUAUAGGAAUGUGAAGGAUUGGCAAACUACUUGAAUCGACCAAGGAAGCUCUUCUUUUCAGACUCCGUGACUGACUCCUCAAACCACCUUUCUCCUUAGUCUCUGGUCGGCUUAGAAACUUUGCUUUAGCUUGAAGCUUUCAUCGGAUUAAAUAAACCAUCUGAAGGAGAUUUUUUCGAUAAAGACCGGUGGUUCAAGACUCUCCAUUCCGAAUUCACAUCCGGGUAAGAAGGGCCUGAUCAACCAAAGACUAAGGAAGAGGCGGUGGAUCGAAGGAAGGGCCAGAGGAGCACCACCGCCUACGCAGAAUGGGCGACGAAGGCAAAGCGCCCAGUUUGUUGAAAAGUAUGGCUGCGAAAGCCUUAAUUCCAUUUUGAUAUGGUUUCAGCUGACAGCCUUGCUUUCUAAGUACCGCGAGAAAGCCUUGGAGCGAAAGAGGCGCUUCUUGGACGGAGAGGAUGGUGAAAGGGAAAGACCGAACGAGAAGUAGAGUCAGUGGAAAACCUAUCAAAGGUCAUCCAUGAAAAUUGUUCAAUAUCGCAUGAUUAUGUUUAUAUCUUUUCAAACUGACAGUAACUCCCUUUCCAAAUAACUUAAACUUGUCAUCCACUUCUUUAGGUGUGGUA